AACGGCCAUACCAUGCUGAAUAUACCGGUUCUCGUUCGAUCACGCAUCAUCGGGCGCGGUCAGUACUUGGGAGGGUGACCACCUGGGACACCGCGUGCCGUU